GUGCUGUACGGCGGCCUACCAUGCAAGUCGAGCGGCAGCGGAAGUAGCUUGCUACUUUGCCGGCGAGCGGCGGACGGGUGAGUAAUGUCUGGGAAACUGCCUGAUGGAGGGGGAUAACUACUGGAAACGGUAGCUAAUACCGCCUAACGUCG
rnacentral:rRNA from 1 species